rnacentral:rRNA from 1 species
AUUGAACGCUGGCGGCAUGCCUUACACAUGCAAGUCGAACGGUAGAGGGGCAACCCUCGAGAGUGGCGAACGGGUGAGUAAUGCAUCGGAACGUGCCCAGUCGUGGGGGAUAACACUUCGAAAGAAGUGCUAAUACCGCAUACGACCUGAGGGUGAAAGCGGGGGACCGCAAGGCCUCGCGCGAUUGGAGCGGCCGAUGUCAGAUUAGGUAGUUGGUGGGGUAAAGGCCUACCCAGCCGCCGAUCUGUAGCUGGUCUGAGAGGACGACCAGCCACACUGGGACUUAGGCACGGCCCAGAGUCCUACGGGAGGCAGCAGUGGGGAAUUUUGGACAAUGGGCGCGAGCCUGAUCCAGCCAUGCCGCGUGCGGGAAGAAGGCCUUCGGGUUGUAAACCGCUUUUGUCAGGGAAGAAAUCUUCUGGGCUAAUACCCCGGGAGGAUGACGGUACCUGAAGAAUAAGCACCGGCUAACUACGUGCCAGCCGCCGCGGUAAAAC